CGAGCGGAUGAAGGGAGCUUGCUCCUGGAUUCAGCGGCGGACGGGUGAGUAAUGCCUAGGAAUCUGCCUGGUAGUGGGGGAUAACGUCCGGAAACGGGCGCUAAUACCGCAUACGUCCUGAGGGAGAAAGUGGGGGAUCUUCGGACCUCACGCUAUCAGAUGAGCCUAGGUCGGAUUAGCUAGUUGGUGGGGUAAAGGCCUACCAAGGCGACGAUCCGUAACUGGUCUGAGAGGAUGAUCAGUCACACUGGAACUGAGACACGGUCCAGACUCCUACGGGAGGCAGCAGUGGGGAAUAUUGGACAAUGGGCGAAAGCCUGAUCCAGCCAUGCCGCGUGUGUGAAGAAGGUCUUCGGAUUGUAAAGCACUUUAAGUUGGGAGGAAGGGCAGUAAGUUAAUACCUUGCUGUUUUGACGUUACCAACAGAAUAAGCACCGGCUAACUUCGUGCCAGCAGCCGCGGUAAUACGAAGGGUGCAAGCGUUAAUCGGAAUUACUGGGCGUAAAGCGCGCGUAGGUGGUUCAGCAAGUUGGAUGUGAAAUCCCCGGGCUCAACCUGGGAACUGCAUCCAAAACUACUGAGCUAGAGUACGGUAGAGGGUGGUGGAUUUCCUGUGUAGCGGUGAAAUGCGUAGAUAUAGGAAGGAACACCAGUGGCGAAGGCGACCACCUGGACUGAUACU
rnacentral:rRNA from 1 species